rnacentral:rRNA from 1 species
GAACGCUGGCGGCAGGCCUAACACAUGCAAGUCGAACGGUAACAGGAAGAAGCUUGCUUCUUUGCUGACGAGUGGCGGACGGGUGAGUAAUGUCUGGGAAACUGCCUGAUGGAGGGGGAUAACUACUGGAAACGGUAGCUAAUACCGCAUAACGUCGCAAGACCAAAGAGGGGGACCUUCGGGCCUCUUGCCAUCGGAUGUGCCCAGAUGGGAUUAGCUAGUAGGUGGGGUAACGGCUCACCUAGGCGACGAUCCCUAGCUGGUCUGAGAGGAUGACCAGCCACACUGGAACUGAGACACGGUCCAGACUCCUACGGGAGGCAGCAGUGGGGAAUAUUGCACAAUGGGCGCAAGCCUGAUGCAGCCAUGCCGCGUGUAUGAAGAAGGCCUUCGGGUUGUAAAGUACUUUCAGCGGGGAGGAAGGGAGUAAAGUUAAUACCUUUGCUCAUUGACGUUACCCGCAGAAGAAGCACCGGCUAACUCCGUGCCAGCAGCCGCGGUAAUACGGAGGGUGCAAGCGUUAAUCGGAAUUACUGGGCGUAAAGCGCACGCAGGCGGUUUGUUAAGUCAGAUGUGAAAUCCCCGGGCUCAACCUGGGAACUGCAUCUGAUACUGGCAAGCUUGAGUCUCGUAGAGGGGGGUAGAAUUCCAGGUGUAGCGGUGAAAUGCGUAGAGAUCUGGAGGAAUA